rnacentral:rRNA from 1 species
CGGCGUCGCGCUCAUCGCCGCCGCCUGUCAUCGCAAGGAAGCCGCGCCGAGCGCGCCGCGCCCCGUCGUCGCAGUGCCGGCGCAGGCGGACGGCGCGGCCGCCGCCGUGUCGCUGCCCGGCGAAAUCCAGCCGCGCUACGCCACGCCGCUGUCGUUUCGCAUCGCCGGCAAGCUCGUCGAGCGCAAGGUGCGCCUCGGCGACAUCGUGAAGAAAGGCCAGGUCGUCGCGCUGCUCGAUACGUCCGACGUCGCGCGCAGCGCGGCCAGCGCGCAGGCGCAGCUCGACGCCGCGACGCACGCGCUGACGUUCGCGCAGCAGCAGCGCGAGCGCGAUCGCGCGCAGGCGCGCGAGAACCUGAUCGCGCCCGCGCAGCUCGAGCAGACCGAGAACGCGUACGCCUCCGCGCGCGCGCAGCGCGACCAGGCCGCGCAGCAGCUCGCGCUCGCGAAGAACCAGUUGCAGUACGCGACGCUCGUCGCCGAUCACGCAGGCUACAUCACCGCCGAGCAGGCCGACACCGGGCAGAACGUGUCCGCCGGCCAGCCGGUCUAUCAGCUCGCGUGGUCGGGCGACAUCGACGUCGUCACCGACGCGCCGGAAAGCGAACUGCCGCGCCUCGCGCCGGGCCGCACGGCGCGCGUCACGCUGCCGGCGCUGCCCGGCCGCGCGUUCGACGCGCGCGUGCGCGAGAUCGCGCCCGCCGCCGAUCCGCAAAGCCGCACGUACCGCGUGAAGCUCACGCUCGCGCAGCCCGAUGCGGCGGUGCGGCUCGGGAUGACCGCGAACGUCGCGCUCUCGCCCGAUGCGCCGAGCGCCGCGAACGCGCAGCCGCGCUUCACGCUGCCGUCGACGGCGCUCUUUCAUGCCGGCAACGCGCCCGCGCUGUGGAUCGUGCGCAAGCAGGACGACACGCUCGAGCUGCGGCGCGUCGACGUCGUGCGCUACAACGAGCGCACGGUGACCGUGUCGGGCGGAAUUCAGCCGGGCGAGCGCGUCGUGCUGCAAGGCGUGCACACGGUGAGCGCGGGCGAGAAGGUGCGCGCGGUGCCGCCGCUUCAUCCGGAGGACGUCGCGUCAUGACGGCCGGCCGAGAAGAAGGCGGACGCUUCAACCUGUCCGCAUGGGCGCUGCGCCAUCAGGCGCUCGUCGUCUACCUGAUCGCGCUCGCGACGAUCGCGGGCAUCCUCGCCUACUCGCGCCUCGCGCAAUCGGAAGACCCGCCGUUCACGUUCCGUGUGAUGGUGAUCCGCACGUUCUGGCCGGGCGCGACCGCGCGCCAGGUGCAGGAACAGGUCACCGACCGGAUCGGCCGCAAGCUGCAGGAAAUGCCCGCGAUCGAUUACCUGCGCAGCUACUCGCGGCC